UGGAGCUCCACCUGACCACGGAAAUUCGUCAGUGCUGAUCUUUACACAACGCCUGAACAACACAUGUGAUAUUAAAAAAGAGAGAGAUUAAAACUCUAAACACGUACAGCUAGAUCAUUUUUAGAGAUGACAGCGCAGGAGGUGCGUUUGUGUGGGCUGCUGCUGCAGGAGCACUUUGGAGAUGUGGUGGAGAAAGUGGGCACUCAUCUGAUCUGCAGUGGAGUUCUGACCUUGCGAGCACUUGCCCAUGAGACCAAACUUCCUCUUGACCUGGUCAAGAAGUCUCUGUGUGUGCUGAUGCAGCAUGGGAUGUGUGCGUUUGGUGCUGGGCGUCGUGGGCCAGCGGGACCUGUGGAAUAUCACAUCAUCUGUGAGCACAUCCUACACAUGCUCCGUUAUCCACGCUACAUCUACACCGCCAAGAGUCUUUAUGGAGACACAGGCGAGCUCAUUGUUGAGGAGAUACUGCAGAGCGGACAGAUGACUAUGAGCAGCACAGUCAAGACUGUAGCAGACCGGCUGACCCACAAUAUGCCAGCUCUUUUUGCACCAGAGGGCCAGAGUAUGGACUACAGUGAGGUUGUCUCUGCAUUCUCCCGGUUGGUGGAGACUCAUUUCCUGCAGCGUUGUCCUCCUAUGGCCUCAGCAGGAUCAUCAAGCUCAGGAGCAGUCAACACUCCCCUUCCAGCUGUAACACAGCCCACUAAACCAGAGGACCACCCAGAAUGCUACAGACUACCCUACAUCAAUCUCACCGGUCAAGGAAAACGCAGACGCUCAAGUGAGGAUGGUGAAGCUGAGCAGCGUGCGGCAAAGAAAGCCAAGACAGACAAUAGUGAGCGUGGUGAUGAAGGGAUCUAUUGGCAGGUGAAUUUUCAACGCUUUCACCUGCACUUCAGGGAUCAGGCCAUUAUUAGUGCCGUUUCCUGUAAACUUGAUCAGGCUAGCAGUGAGAUUGUUAGAACCAUGUUGCGGAUGAGUGAAGUUACAACGCCGGCUCACGCUGCUUUCACACAAGCCCUUUCUGCCAAUGAGAUUUUCCGAGCUUUUCCAUCCAGUUACAACAUCGCCAGACCAAUUUUAGACCAAUACCUCACUCUCCUGGUGGAUGAUCCGAUGGAAUUUGUGGGCAGGACAGGUGACAGUGGAGGAGGAAUGUAUGUUGUCAAUUUACAUCGUGCACUGGCUAACCUGGCCAGAGCUACCCUAGAGUCUGUGGUCCAAGAGAGGUUUGGUUCCCGCUCAGCUCGAAUCUUUCGUCUGUUACUGCGAAAACGGCACCUGGAACAGAAGCAGGUGGAGGAUUUUGCCAUGGUUCCUGCCAAAGAGGCCAAAUACAUGCUGUACACACUCCUGUCUGAGAACCUGGUCCAGCUACAGGAAAUCCCCAAAACGCCAGACUACGCCCCUUCUCGCACCUUUUACCUGUACACAGUUAACCAGCUGCCCACCGCCAGACUACUUCUGCAACACUGCUACAAGACAGUUGGCAACCUGAUCGAGAGGCGGCUGUAUGAGACCAAAGAGAACAAGCGACUUUUGGAAAAGUCUCAGCGAAUUGAGGCCAUCCUGGCAUCCUUGCAGGCCACAGGAGCAGAGGCGGCCCAGCUGACGGAGGUGGAGGAGAUGAUCACAGCUCCAGAACGACAGCAGCUCGAGACUUUACGACACCACAUUAACAAGUUGGAUUCCAGUGAAAACCAGGUGGAUGAGACCAUAUUUCUUCUGGAAUCCUAUAUCAACUCUACACAGGCCCCUCCCUGACAGUUUUUAUAUAACUUUAGACUAGUUCAGAAAAUUGUUGAUGUUUGUUUGAAAAGAAAUGGGUGGCUAUAGAAGAGAGAUUUAUUUAUUUUGCAACAAGGAGUGACUAGUUUAUAUUUAAUAGUGUGAGUAUUUUGUGUAGCCGUGAACAAUUUUAUUUUCCACAGGAAAAAAUAAAGAUAUAAUUCUUUUAUUUAAUGGUUUACAUUUUUUUUUAAAUAAUUUGUCUGAAUGUCAAAAAAGCAAAUGCAAUUUACAAACCUAUGCAUUGAACAUGAAGAAUGAAACAGACAUUUUUAUUUCUGUUAAGAAAAAAAAAAAAAAAAAUAGACUGCUUGGUAUUAUACCAUAUGUUUUCAACUUAAAUACAAAUUUCAUUAUUUUCUUUUUCACAAAUAGUGCAUUUGCUUGUUUUCCUGCUCGUUCUUUCAAUGCAAUGCAAUUUUAAAGGAUCUGGCUCUAUGAAGCCAUGCAGAGUGUCUCCCAGAUUAACCUUCUUUCUUGUCCUUUUGCGACACAAUUGGAUUCUUGUGCUUUUUGAUGCCACAACAGAAUAACGUAACUAAAUAACGUACUCGACUGACCUGCAAGAACUGAACUUUUACACAUUGUGCAUCCCUUUGCAUCUCCAUGUGAAAUAUUUUAUCAAGUUUAAAUCCAUUCUGCAGAUUUCCCCCCAAAA